CUGUCAUUUUUCAGCUUCUUAAAUGUGAAUAUUUUCAGAUUAACUGUUAAUCCAGCGAUGGUCACAACUGCAGCUUUGACUCUUUCUCUCCUCAGGAGGGAAACUUCCUGGAGGUUACAACUACCUGCACGUGACCACACCCACUCCCACAGACCUGACUCCUCCCCCUCCUGUUCCACAGGACAGACGGAUCGUGACCGGACACGUGGAGACGGGGAAUUACUUCAGUCUGCACCUGGACUGCUACGAGCGCGUGGACACGAUCACCUGCUUCUCCCUGAAGCCCCUCCCUGUCUCCAAUUACCUGAGUCUGUACGGGAAACACCAGCAGCUGCUGGGCCAGCUGCUGACCCGCUACCACCAGGACCUGAUCCAUGACCUGUACAGCUUCUUCACACAGAGCUCCUGUUUGGUCGUUUAUCACGACAGAUUCUGUGACUUAGAGCAGGAGCUUCAGCAGAUCACUGCACACACACUCCAGGGCGACGCCGAGCAGGAGACGGCGACGGCGACGGACUGCGGUGCGUUCAAAGACGCAGCGAGUCGAGCAGCUCUGAGACACCGAGCAGUGAAAUAUCUGAACUUCAACAGGAACCUGCUGCCCAUGUUCAGCUGCCCGGGUCAACUGUAACCACGACAACCACUUCAUUUCAAUUUCCUGUCAACUUAAAGGAAACGUUGAAGUGGAACAUCGCGGAGUUCUGUCAGAUUUAAGUCAGAGUUCUGACUUUAAAGUUCUGAAAUCUCAGAAUUCACACUUUAAAAUUCAGAAUUCUGUCAGAUCAAAGUCAGAAUUCUGAAGACUAAAGUG